UUGAAGUGAAGAGUUUGAUCCUGGCUCAGAUUGAACGCUGGCGGCAUGCCUAACACAUGCAAGUCGAACGGUAACGCGGGGGCAACCCUGGCGACGAGUGGCGGACGGGUGAGUAAUACGUAGGAAUCUGCCCAUUUGUGGGGGAUAACCCGGCGAAAGCCGGGCUAAUACCGCAUACGCUCUACGGAGGAAAGCGGGGGAUCGUAAGACCUCGCGCUAAUGGAUGAGCCUACGUCGGAUUAGCUAGUUGGUAAGGUAACGGCCUACCAAGGCGACGAUCCGUAGCUGGUCUGAGAGGACGAUCAGCCACACUGGGACUGAGACACGGCCCAGACUCCUACGGGAGGCAGCAGUGGGGAAUAUUGGACAAUGGGGGCAACCCUGAUCCAGCAAUGCCGCGUGUGUGAAGAAGGCCUGCGGGUUGUAAA
rnacentral:rRNA from 1 species